UCCGUAGGUGAACCUUGCGGAGGGAUCAUUACGGAGUUACACAACUCACCAAACCAUUGUGAACCGACCCUUCUGUUGCUUCGGCGGGAGGCGCCUCGGCGCCCCUCGGCCGAUCCCCCGCCCCCGCGGCGUGGGGGGAGGCUCCCGCCGGAGGAAUACCCCAAACCCUUUGCAGCACAUGGCCUCUCUGAGUUUAUGUACUGAAUAAGUCAAAACUUUCAACAACGGAUCUCUUGGUUCUGGCAUCGAUGAAGAACGCAGCGAAAUGCGAUAAGUAAUGUGAAUUGCAGAAUUCAGUGAAUCAUCGAAUCUUUGAACGCACAUUGCGCCCGCCGGUAUUCCGGCGGGCAUGCCUGUUCGAGCGUCAUUUCAACCAUCAAGCCCUGGGCUUGUGUUGGGGACCUGCGGCUGCCGCAGGCCCUGAAAUGCAGUGGCGGGCUCGCAAGACACACCGAGCGUAGUAGCUUACAACCUCGCUUUGGGAGUGCUGCGGGUGCUGGCCGUAAAGCGACCUUUGCGUCUUUAGCACUAGGUUGACCUCGGAUCAGGUAGGAGGACCCGCUGAACUUAAGCAUAUCAAUAAGCGGAGGA
rnacentral:rRNA from 1 species